UACAGAGGUCUCAAGCGUUGUUCGGAUUCAUUGGGCGUAAAGGGUGCGUAGGUGGCGCCGUAAGUCAGGUGUGAAAUUUCGGAGCUUAACUCCGAAACUGCAUUUGAUACUGCGGUGCUUGAGGACUGGAGAGGAGACUGGAAUUUACGGUGUAGCGGUGAAAUGCGUAGAUAUCGUAAGGAAGACCAGUGGCGAAGGCGGGUCUCUGG
rnacentral:rRNA from 1 species